UCUCGUCUCUCAUCUCUCUCGUCUCUCUCUUAGCUAAGCAGCAUCAAUAGAGGACUCCGGCAAGAGCCUCACUUCCCUCAAAUAGCUAUCUUCUUCCCUUCUCUCCCUCAUCGACGUCCAUGACAGAGCUAGGCGGUGGUGGUCCCCACUUUUCGUCGACGGCAUCCCAAGUGCAAGGCAGCAGCGGUGGAAGUGGACGGUAGCCUCCCUACAGUGCAACGCAAGUGUUGCAGCUUCCGCUUUCGGCAAGCUACGAACGGCCAUGGCAACUCCGGCGAUGAAGCAGCGAGAAGAGGCAGCGAGAGGAGGCGGCAUUGUGCGUCCCCUGCUCUUCCUUUCCGGUGAGCAGUGCUGCGGCGGGGAAGUGGCGGAUGAUGAAGACGGCUUCCUCUUCCAUGUUCGAUGUGAUCGGAGCAAUAGCGGUCAGCGUCGGUGGUGAUCUCUUCCCCGUCCAGCGUACGCAGCAGCAGCGGCGUUCCCCUCCCCUGCUUCCGACGGUUUCGCGACAACGGUCCAGCGGCGACAUGCCUUCUCUCUUCCUAUCUUCCAUCAAUGGUGGCUGAAAGAUCGUAUGAAGGGUGGUUGUUCGGUGGUAGCAAUUUCAUGGCAGGAAGGAGAUUGAUUAGCAUCUUAUUUUAAGGUUCCCUAAUUGUGGUCUAGCUUGUGAGAUGAGCCUAGGAUUGAUGUUGCUUGGAUUGAUGAGCUUCAAGAGGUAUGGAGUAGAACCUGCACGCGAGAGUGCUAGUCUUUAGUUCUAUUCCUCUGUUAUGAUUCUAGCCUAGUAGUAUUUUAGAUGUUUUGACUUUGGGCCUGCGUGCCUUAGAACUUGGUGAAUGUAAUAAUGGAUUAGAUUGUGUUUGUUUUGAGGAUUUUGAGAUUAUGUUUUUGAAUUCGCCUUAGCAUCUAGGCCUUGUGGACUUAAAUGUGGCGUAGCACCCCUCAUGUGAUAUAGAAUCGCUUCCGUAUUACUGUUGUUUAA